ACUUUCUCUUGAAGGUCUCCGUGCCGCAGUUAGAAGUAUCGAUGUCCCUCGGCAGGCAGUUGAAGAGUUUUGUGGUCCCUCGCUGGUAAAGCUGGCAGCGUGUAUGGAGUAUGGAUCUCAGAUACGUUGACUGACUGCAGGGAAACUGUUGGCUGAGCGGGAGGAGGAGAGUUAGAGGAAGAGGAGGAGGAGGAGGAGGAAGAAGAAGCGGAGAAAAAAAAAACGAGGAAGCAGAGGAGCGUGUUGUGGUGUCCCGUCACUGGCCACCCUGCCCUGCCCUGCCCUGCCCUGGCUCUACUCUUUCUGGCCCCGCCCUGCCCCGUGUGUGCUACCACCAUCCACGCAACCAGCAAGGAGGCAAAUGGAGCAGUUCCGGAGCAUGGUGGAGGCGGUGGCGGCGGCGGCGUAGGUGACAGGGGUGGUCUGAUGCGGCGCCCAUACCUUGCUUGUAUACAGUUAGUCCUUUUGCUGUCUGGUGGCCCGAAGAUCUCUACUACGCUUAUAAAGAGGACAUCAGUGUGCCCGAGGGGAAGACCGCCGCCCACCUGCACCAAGGCGAGACACUUCCCGGAACAAUCGGCCCACGCUCCCGACCCUGCUGCCCCGCCGAGUGAGGGUGAGGAGACGAGCCGAUUAACCGAAGUGUGAUAUUCAGAAGCGUUGUGAGAGCGCUUCCCAACAACGUGCGGCGUCCCCCAAGGCACCUUCCUCCUGUUUGGGCUGCAACGCCUCAGUGAAACGGUUUGCGCGGCGCGGCGGCUGUCACCGGCGGGAGAAAGGCCCAGAUUGAGAGUCUCCUGACACGCACGACACACUGCCAGGUCUUGGAAUAAGG